rnacentral:rRNA from 1 species
UAGGGAAUCUUCGGCAAUGGACGGAAGUCUGACCGAGCAACGCCGCGUGAGUGAAGAAGGUUUUCGGAUCGUAAAGCUCUGUUGUAAGAGAAGAACGAGUGUGAGAGUGGAAAGUUCACACUGUGACGGUAUCUUACCGGAAAGGGACGGCUAACUACGUGCCAGCAGCCGCGGUAAUACGUAGGUCCCGAGCGUUGUCCGGAUUUAUUGGGCGUAAAGCGAGCGCAGGCGGUUAGAUAAGUCUGAAGUUAAAGGCUGUGGCUUAACCAUAGUAGGCUUUGGAAACUGUUUAACUUGAGUGCAAGAGGGGAGAGUGGAAUUCCAUGUGUAGCGGUGAAAUGCGUAGAUAUAUGGAGGAACACCGGUGGCGAAAGCGGCUCUCUGGCUUGUAACUGACGCUGAGGCUCGAAAGCGUGGGGAGCAAACAGGAUUAGAUACCCUGGUAGUCCACGCUGUAAACGAUGAGUGCUAGGUGUUAGACCCUUUCCGGGGUUUAGUGCCGUAGCUAACGCAUUAAGCACUCCGCCUGGGGAGUACGACCGCAAGGUUG